UGGAGCUGAAGUCAGUCGAAGAUACCAGCUGGCUGCAACUGUUUAUUAAAAACACAGCACUGUGCAAACACGAAAGUGGACGUAUACGGUGUGACGCCUGCCCGGUGCCGGAAGGUUAAUUGAUGGGGUCAGCGCAAGCGAAGCUCCUGAUCGAAGCCCCGGUAAACGGCGGCCGUAACUAUAACGGUCCUAAGGUAGCGAAAUUCCUUGUCGGGUAAGUUCCGACCUGCACGAAUGGCGUAAUGAUGGCCAGGCUGUCUCCACCCGGGACUCAGUGAAAUUGAACUCGCUGUGAAGAUGCAGUGUACCCGCGGCAAGACGGAAAGACCCCGUGAACCUUUACUAUAGCUUGACACUGAACACUGGUCCUUGAUGUGCAGGAUAGGUGGGAGGCUUUGAAGUGUGGACGCCAGUCUGCAUGGAGCCAUCCUUGAAAUACCACCCUUUAAUGGCUGGUGUUCUAACGUGGGCCCGUGAACCGGGUUGCGGACAGUGUCUGGUGGGUAGUUUGACUGGGGCGGUCUCCUCCUAAAGAGUAACGGAGGAGCACGAAGGUUGGCUAAUCCUGGUCGGACAUCAGGAGGUUAGUGCAAUGGCAUAAGCCAGCUUGACUGCGAGCGUGACGGCGCGAGCAGGUGCGAAAGCAGGUCAUAGUGAUCCGGUGGUUCUGAAUGGAAGGGCCAUCGCUCAACGGAUAAAAGGUACUCCGGGGAUAACAGGCUGAUACCGCCCAAGAGUUCAUAUCGACGGCGGUGUUUGGCACCUCGAUGUCGGCUCAUCACAUCCUGGGGCUGAAGUAGGUCCCAAGGGUAUGGCUGUUCGCCAUUUAAAGUGGUACGCGAGCUGGGUUUAGAACGUCGUGAGACAGUUCGGUCCCUAUCUGCCGUGGGCGCUGGAAGAUUGAGGGGGGCUGCUCCUAGUACGAGAGGACCGGAGUGGACGCAUCACUGGUGUUCGGGUUGUCAUGCCAAUGGCACUGCCCGGUAGCUACAUGCGGAAGAGAUAAGUGCUGAAAGCAUCUAAGCACGAAACUUGCCCCGAGAUGAAUCUUCCCUGAGCCUUUAAGGCUCCUGAAGGAACGUUGAAGACGACGACGUUGAUAGGCCGGGUGUGUAAGCGCAGCGAUGCGUUGAGCUAACCGGUACUAAUGAACCGUGAGGCUUAACCUUACAACGCCGAA
rnacentral:rRNA from 2 species